rnacentral:tRNA from 1 species
GUAUAAAUAAGCUAAAUUAAUAAGCUAGUAGGCUCAUAACCUAAAUAUAUAAAUAAUUUUAUUUUAUAUA